rnacentral:rRNA from 1 species
AGUGGCGCACGGGUGCGUAACGCGUGGGAACCUGCCUUUAGGUUCGGAAUAACAGUGAGAAAUUACUGCUAAUACCGGAUAAUGUCUUCGGACCAAAGAUUUAUCGCCUAUAGAUGGGCCCGCGUUGGAUUAGCUAGUUGGUGGGGUAAAGGCCUACCAAGGCGACGAUCCAUAGCUGGUCUGAGAGGAUGAUCAGCCACACUGGGACUGAGACACGGCCCAGACUCCUACGGGAGGCAGCAGUGGGGAAUAUUGGACAAUGGGCGAAAGCCUGAUCCAGCAAUGCCGCGUGAGUGAUGAAGGCCUUAGGGUUGUAAAGCUCUUUUACUGGGGAUGAUAAUGACAGUACCCAGAGAAUAAGCUCCGGCUAACUCCGUGCCAGCAGCCGCGGUAAUACGGAGGGAGCUAGCGUUGUUCGGAAUUACUGGGCGUAAAGCGCACGUAGGCGGCUUUUUAAGUCAGGGGUGAAAUCCCGGGGCUCAACCCCGGAACUGCCCUUGAAACUGGGAAGCU